UCUGACACAGGUGCUGCAUGGCUGUCGUCAGCUCGUGUCGUGAGAUGGUUGGGUUAACGUCCCGUAACGAGCGCAACCCUUGUCCUUAGUUACCAGCACGUUAUGGUGGGCACUCUAAGGAGACUGCCGGUGACAAACCGGAGGAAGGGUGGGGAUGACGUCAAGUCAUCAUGGCCCUUACGGCCUGGGCUACACACGUGCUACAAUGGUCGGUACAAAGGGUUGCCAAGCCGCGAGGUGGAGCUAAUCCCAUAAAACCGAUCGUAGUCCGGAUCGCAGUCUGCAACUCGACUGCGUGAAGUCGGAAUCGCUAGUAAUCGUGAAUCAGAAUGUCACGGUGAAUACGUUCCCGGGCCUU
rnacentral:rRNA from 1 species